CUGGAUAAUUGUCACAACUUUGAAGUUACUCUAAGAAUUAUGAUGGUGGAGCUGAGUCACACUUUUUAUUACAGAGAAUUCUGCCCAGGCCCUUUGCAGUGUCCUAGGGCACGCUUACUUCCAGGCUUUAGGAGUGAGAGUUCACUGGCUUAAGUGAGGAGUACACAGGACCUGCACAUCUGACCUCUCUCAAGGACUAGGCAUUGAGCUGGGAGAUAGGAAGAUCAACAGGAUCAGAGCUUUGCCUUCAAGGAGCCACACAAAAGGGAGUGGGUCCAUUCUGUUCUGCAUCAGUAGAAACCAUACCUGUUUGCCAUUGUGAGUUACAGAUGACAGAAUGGUCCUCAGUGUCUUGAAGCCCAUUGCGAUGUCCAAUAGGUGAGCAGCAAAGAAGAAGUUAUUGUAGUGGCCCAGGACUGACAUGGUUGUAUACCAGGCAAGGUAGAGAAAGGACUGGGAAUGGAAGAAAGCAGACUUUUAAGCAUGUUUGCCUCAUAGUGUGCUCAUUAUAAAACAUUUUUUCUUAUUUUGGGAGACACACUGAGGAUAGAGGGGGUUUAGGUGCUGAGGUGCUGUGAGCUGGCCCAAGAUCUGCUAAGUGAGCCCCAUCUACCUUAUACCAUUGUAUAAGUGUUCCCCCAGCACGUAUAAGGCUCUUGGUCUUUGAUAAGCAAUCCCUGAACCCUUCUGAGCAUCCUGCAUAGCUUGCUUCUCUGUGGCAUCCCUGAACUGGGGUAUAGAAUUUUGUUUUUCCAGGUGCAGUACUUACGUUGUCAGUAAAAACAACUCCAAGCUUCCAGAUAUGGUACUUCAUGUCUAUGGAACUUAGCCUAGAGAAGAACAAGUGAUUUUAAAACUUAUAAAUGUCAAGAGGUAGUUAAGUGCUCAAUAAGGGGGAAAAAGUAAGUUUUUUCUCUCAGGUUUAAUAACCUAAAUAUGGCUCUCAGCUUUAUCAAGUUGUAUGUGCUCCCCAUGAGACAAGAGAACAGUUGAAUCACAUAGCCUGAAUUUUUUUUUUUUUUUGAAACGGAGUCUCACUCUAUCACCCAGGCUGGAGUGUAGUGGCGUGAUCUUGGCUUACUGCAACCUCCACCUGCCAGGUUCAAGCGGUUCUCCUGCCUCAGCCUCCCAAGCAGCUGGGACUACAGGUGCCCACCACCACGCCUAGCUACUUUUUAAAAAUAUUAUUAGUAGAGACGGGGUUUCACUAUGUUGGCCAGGCUGGUAUCGAACUCCUGACCUCAUGAUCUGCCCACCUCAGCCUCCCAAAGUGCUGGGAUUACAGGUAUGAGCCACUGCGCCCAG
rnacentral:lncRNA from 10 species